rnacentral:rRNA from 1 species
GAUGAACGCUGGCGGCGUGCAUAACACAUUCAAGGUCGAACGGGAAUCGUUUUUGUUGGAGACUUCGGGUCAAAGACAAGAGAGGAUAGUGGCGGACGGGUGAGUAACGCGUGAGCAACCUGCCUGCAAGUGGGGAAUAACAGUGGGAAACGACUGCUAAUACCGCAUAACGUGCGUUUUUCGCAUGAAGAACGUACCAAAGAUUUAUCGCUUGUAGGGUGAGCUCGCGUCCGAUUAGAUAGUUGGUGAGGUAACGGCCCACCAAGUCUGCGAUCGGUAGCCGACCUGAGAGGGUGAUCGGCCACAUUGGGACUGAGACACGGCCCAGACUCCUACGGGAGGCAGCAGUGGGGAAUAUUGGGCAAUGGGGGAAACCCUGACCCAGCAACGCCGCGUGAGGGAAGAAGGUUUUCGGAUUGUAAACCUCUGUCCUUGGUGACGAAGGAAGUGACGGUAGCCAAGGAGGAAGCCCCGGCUAACUACGUG